rnacentral:lncRNA from 1 species
CGCAGGAAGACCACAGAAAUAAACCAAAGGGACACCGCGGACAGAUGUACCAGAGGACACCACUGAAGUCCAGGAGAAUCUCCACCAAAACCAUCAGCGUUUUCCUUGUAGCUUUCUGUCCCUCGAAGUGGAAAGUUGAGGUUUCUGAGAAGUCCACGGAGAGAACCUGCAGCAAACUGAAGCCACAGACUCCGAAGGCAUAGGGAGAAAAAAUGCUUCCAUCCCCCUUUCACUUUAAACUUGAUCGCUUCUGGGACUUCACUGGAGGGCGGUGGAGUUGCACCAACCUGGAGUACAGGCAGAUCCCAGCGAGCACUUCCAAGUACUUUAGGACGUGGGGGUGACUCUUUUUUCUUCAGGAUUGUCCCACUUGCCACCCUUUCCAGCUGAGCUGAUAGGAACCAAUGAAAGUCUAGGCGAUGAGGAUUUUCCGUUACCUCAGGGAUCAAAGUAUAAAAUGUUGAAUGAGAAACCCGAAGACCUUGCAUCGCUGGGCUGAAUAACUUGUUUUCUUUUUUAUGGUGUCCAGACUGAGAAGGAAUAAUCCUGCAGCAAUAUGGAAGAUGGAGGUAUGGCUAAGGAU